UGAGCUGUGAUGGGGAAGCUCCUUAUGGAGCGAAGUCUUUGAUUCCCCGCUGCCAAGAAAAGCUUCUAGCGAGAUAAAAGGUGCCUGUACCGCAAACCGACACAGGUAGGCGAGGAGAGAAUCCUAAGGUGUGCGAGAGAACUCUGGUUAAGGAACUCGGCAAAAUGACCCCGUAACUUCGGGAGAAGGGGUGCUUUCUUAACGGAAAGCCGCAGUGAAUAGGCCCAAGCGACUGUUUAGCAAAAACACAGCUCUCUGCGAAGCCGUAAGGCGAAGUAUAGGGGGUGACACCUGCCCGGUGCUGGAAGGUUAAGGAGAGGGGUUAGCGUAAGCGAAGCUCUGAACUGAAGCCCCAGUAAACGGCGGCCGUAACUAUAACGGUCCUAAGGUAGCGAAAUUCCUUGUCGGGUAAGUUCCGACCCGCACGAAAGGUGUAACGAUUUGGGCACUGUCUCAACCAGAGACUCGGUGAAAUUAUAGUACCUGUGAAGAUGCAGGUUACCCGCGACAGGACGGAAAGACCCCGUGGAGCUUUACUGUAGCCUGAUAUUGAAUUUUGGUACAGUUUGUACAGGAUAGGCGGGAGCCAUUGAAACCGGAGCGCUAGCUUCGGUGGAGGCGCUGGUGGGAUACCGCCCUGACUGUAUUGAAAUUCUAACCUACGGGUCUUAUCGACCCGGGAGACAGUGUCAGGUGGGCAGUUUGACUGGGGCGGUCGCCUCCUAAAGUGUAACGGAGGCGCCCAAAGGUUCCCUCAGAAUGGUUGGAAAUCAUUCGUAGAGUGCAAAGGCAUAAGGGAGCUUGACUGCGAGACCUACAAGUCGAGCAGGGACGAAAGUCGGGCUUAGUGAUCCGGUGGUUCCGCAUGGAAGGGCCAUCGCUCAACGGAUAAAAGCUACCCCGGGGAUAACAGGCUUAUCUCCCCCAAGAGUCCACAUCGACGGGGAGGUUUGGCACCUCGAUGUCGGCUCAUCGCAUCCUGGGGCUGUAGUCGGUCCCAAGGGUUGGGCUGUUCGCCCAUUAAAGCGGUACGCGAGCUGGGUUCAGAACGUCGUGAGACAGUUCGGUCCCUAUCCGUCGUGGGCGUAGGAAAUUUGAGAGGAGCUGUCCUUAGUACGAGAGGACCGGGAUGGACGCACCGCUGGUGUACCAGUUGUUCUGCCAAGGGCAUAGCUGGGUAGCUAUGUGCGGAAGGGAUAAGUGCUGAAAGCAUCUAAGCAUGAAGCCCCCCUCAAGAUGAGAUUUCCCAUAGCGUAAGCUAGUAAGAUCCCUGAAAGAUGAUCAGGUUGAUAGGUUCGAGGUGGAAGCAUGGUGACAUGUGGAGCUGACGAAUACUAAUAGAUCGAGGACUUAACCAU
rnacentral:rRNA from 1 species